rnacentral:rRNA from 1 species
GACGAACGCUGGCGGCGUGCCUAAUACAUGCAAGUCGAGCGGACAGAAGGGAGCUUGCUCCCGGAAGUUAGCGGCGGACGGGUGAGUAACACGUGGGCAACCUACCCUGUAGAUCGGGAUAACAUCGAGAAAUCGGUGCUAAUACCGGAUAAUCAUUUGAAGUGCAUGCUUCGAAUGUAAAAGAUGGCCCCGGCUAUAACUCAGGGAUGGGGCGCGGGCGCAUUAGCUAGUUGGUAAGGUAAUGGCUUACCAAGGCAACGAUGCGUAGCCGACCUGAGAGGGUGAUCGGCCACACUGGGACUGAGACACGGCCCAGACUCCUACGGGAGGCAGCAGUAGGGAAUCUUCCGCAAUGGACGAAAGUCUGACGGAGCAACGCCGCGUGAGUGAUGAAGGUUUUCGGAUCGUAAAGCUCUGUUGUUAGGGAAGAACAAGUGCCGUUUGAAUAAGGCGGCACCUUGACGGUACCUAACCAGAAAGCCACGGCUAACUACGUGCCAGCCGCCGCAGUAAAAC